GAGACGACAAGUUACAAUCUUUUGACCUGAGCCUUUCAAAGUAAGGUCGAAGCUGGCGAAAAGAAGUGGCGAAAAGAAGCAAUGGAAUUCUUCCUUCUGCCUGGCCUUCUUGUGCUCGUCGUGAGGUACGUCAUUGGCGACAGCUGCGUAGAACAAAACCCGUUCGGUUGCCAGUCAAACCACCCAGCUAUAUGCCGAGACGAGUUGUUGGCAACGCUAAUGUGUCCAGUAACAUGCAAAAAAUGUCGUAUGGAUGCGUUUCUACUGCUGAUUUGUUUUGCAUUUACUGACACACUGGCAGACACAACUAGUCCUGCAGCUUCAGCGAUUGCCAACGUUGAAGAGACGAGAGUGCCGAUGGCGUUGAAAGACUAUUUGCAAGAUACAUGGAAAUGGUUCUUCCUGAGAAUGUUUCUAAAGCCUUGUGUGUCUCGGUCAAGAAGUGCUGCAAGAUUGUUUUUGGUCGUCGAAACAUCAAUACCGGAAACGUUGCCAUCCAUUGCUGCUCGUCUGAUUUAUGUAACGCAGCACCCACCACCACCACGUCGAUAAGGACGACCACGACAACAACACCUACGCCCACUUGCGACACGAGUAACAAGUAUCAUCGAUUGUCAUAUAACAACACACGUUUCUGUAUUAAAAUACAUUAUGAGCCCUUGGAAUGGGGCGCUGCUCGCCGUGCGUGCAUGUCAGAGCACGCAGUUCUCGUAGUCUUGAAUCGUCAUGACAAAUACGCUGCAAUGACAUCUCAUCUUCGAAAUGUAUACAUCGUAUACAUCGACCACAGUGAUAUAUGGAUCACAGUUUCUAACAAAGCCGCUCUUUCUACUGGCUGAAUAACUAAUCACUCCCAUCGCAGUCAACUGAAUGGGGGCGUGGCCAGCCUGACGAUCGGAUCGAUAACCACCAACACGAGGACUGUGUUACCAUAGAACCUCAAAACAGAUUCAAAUAUUCACGACCGUGCAUGUUAUCACUAUUUUAAAUUUAUAUGUGAACGAACAUUAUAAAACUUUGUAUAACGAG